ACAUCCAGAGAACUUGGCAGAGAUGCCUUGGUGCCUUCGGGACCUCUGAGACAGGUGCUGCAUGGCUGUCGUCAGCUCGUGUUGUGAAAUGUUGGUAAGUCCCGNAACGAGCGCAACCCCUAUCCUUUGUUGCCAGCGAUUCGGUCGGGAACUCAAAGGAGACUGCCGGUGAUAAACCGGAGGAAGGUGGGGAUGACGUCAAGUCAUCAUGGCCCUUACGAGUAGGGCUACACACGUGCUACAAUGGCGCAUACAAAGAGAAGCGACCUCGCGAGAGCAAGCGGACCUCAUAAAGUGCGUCGUAGUCCGGAUCGGAGUCUGCAACUCGACUCCGUGAAGUCGGAAUCGCUAGUAAUCGUAGAUCAGAAUGCUACGGUGAAUACGUUCCCGGGCCUUGUACACACCGCCCGUCACACCAUGGGAGUGGGUUGCAAAAGAAGUAGAUAGCUUAACCUUCGGGAGGGCGUUUACCACUUUGUGAUUCAUGACUGGGGUGAAGUCGUAACAAGGUAAGCGUAGCGAG
rnacentral:rRNA from 1 species